GGAGAGGUGUCUGAGUGGUUUAAAGUACUGGUCUUGAAAACCAGCGUAGUUUUUGCUACCGAGGGUUCGAAUCCCUCCUUCUCCG
rnacentral:tRNA from 12 species